rnacentral:rRNA from 1 species
ACUGAACGCUGGCGGCAGGCUCAACACAUGCAAGUCGAACGAGUGGCGGACGGGUGAGUAAUGUUUGGGAAUCUAGCUUAUGGAGGGGGACAACUACGGGAAACCGUAGCUAAUACCGCGUACCAUAGGAUGAGCCCAAGCGGGAUUAGGCAGUAGGUGGGGUAAAGGCUAACCUAGGCGACGAUCUCUAGCUGGUCUGAGAGGAUGAUCAGCCACACUGGUACCGAGACACGGCCCAGACUCCUACGGGAGGCAGCAGUGAGGAAUAUUGCACAGUGGGCGCAAGCCUGAUGCAGCCAUGCCGCGUGUAUGAAGAAGGCCUUAGGGUUGUAAAGUACUUUCAGCGGGGAGGCGUUACCCGCAGAAGAAGCACCGGCUAACUCCGUGCCAGCAGCCGCGGUAAUAC